GACUCAUCUGAUAGCCGCCUUUACUUAUCUCUCCCCAAAGUAAGAAGUCAGAAGUUUAAUGCUUGUACGCCACUUUAUAUGGUUUGCAAGUUUGGCUCUUCUGUUACAUUU